rnacentral:tRNA from 1 species
GAGGGUGUAGCUCAGUGGUAGAGUGCAUGCUGAGUAUGCAUGAGGUCCUGGGUUCAAUCCCCAGUACCCCCA